AUAAAGGAAAGACCCUAUCAGAAAUGCUUCCCGUUGCCUGUGUGAGGUAGGCACUGUCAGGACACAAGAGGAACUCUGGGAAUGCAGACACACUUGCCAACAACUUCUGCAGUCAGUCGAUCCAGCCAGAACACUUUGCUUCAUUUUCUGGCCACAAACUUUUUCAGUACAGACAUCCCACGCUUAAUUGAGACUUGCCUGGAGCCCAGAACCUCUUUCCCUGAACAGUGUAGAGAAGAAACGGAGAGAAGAGGCCGAGGAAGGGGCAUCAGGAAAAAGAAAAGAACACCCGUGCCAAGAACUUCCUGGAAACUGCUGCACAGUGGGAUUGAAACCACAUGCAAGCUCACGCUGCUGGCCCCGAGUGGAGCUUCCUCCCAGAUGUGACCAUCUCUUGUCCCCAUGCUCAGUCCACCCUCUCUUGGGCUUGGAAUGAGAACUGAAGAAUUCUUAUGAGUUGGGUGCACGGCCGUAAUAAAGUUGAGGUAUCCCAGACUGCAGCUGGAGAAGAGAAGGUAUCGUUUGACUAUUGGCUUAACAGGAUUUGAAGGCACCAGCAUGAUAUCUGUUCUUCAAUGAGGAAGGGACCCGCCCAGCUGAGUGCGGCUCAGCACAUGACUGAACGUCAGAAGAUGUGCCAGAGCAGACGGUAUUUGAUCGGUAGUCUAGUGGUGUCUGCUGGAGCCGAGGGCAAGUCCAUCCGGAGGAUGCUUCCGGAGAAAAGGAAAUAAAGCAACAUCAGUGUGCAAGGAAGGCAAUUUUUUUUUUGAAGCAGAGUUCAGUCUUUAAAACCCACAAUUAGCCUGCUUUCUUUCAGCCUAGAAAGUCAUAUUUAGCUGCUCUCUGCCACCUGCACACACAGUACCUGUCAUUAAGCUUCCCUUCUCUCUACUGUAGAGUCAGAAACAGCCACUCCUGCCAAUUACCCAGUGGUACAAGGAGGCAUGUGAUUUACAUGCAUGUCUCUUCCUUUUCCCGAAGUUUCUGUCAUCAUCCCUAUUUUAAUCUUGGAAACGGGGCUGAAGCGUUUAAGUCAUUAGACCCGCAGCUGCUGUGCAGCACAGCACAGAUGUGAACCCGAGUUGGCCUCGCUUCCACCCACAAGUGUCUCUGCUCCACUCUCCAGGAAAGGAGCAGGAGCAGUGAGUCCCUCUCACACGGCAGCCCCUCUUGGGCUCUUUCUCAGUCUUCCAUUUCCACUGUUCCUUGUUUGCCUAGUCAGCUGAUGCAAUCUCAGUGUGCACACGUGACAAGAGGCACCUGGCAUGUGGGAAGACAGAUAAUUAAGAUCCUUUCCACCCCCCCUGUUCUCUUUAGUCAGACAAACAGCAUCUAAUGAAGCUCACUGACAUCUGUUAUGGUCCUGUGGGAAGGUACGGUGCUCACACACCCAUUUCACAGAUCAGCUGGGCACGCAGAGGAUGGAAGAACAGAACUACUGAAAACAAAUAGGAAGAAAAACCCCAAUACUCUGUUCCACUGGUCUGUAAACGCUUGCUCAUCUAGAUCACCCCUGAGAUAAAGCUAACUAUUCUACUAAUUUAUGGGGAAAGGACCACUUCAGUAUUUUCCAGAAAGACAAAUUAUCUGAAAUUACCAUAUUUCUCAAGACACUUUUGAUGUUCUCUUACAAAACAAAUAAUGCAUACUUUAAAAAAGUUUCACUUAUGUUUAUUUAGCAUGUAUGUGCAUGCGUAUGCAUGUCUGCAGGCUUGUGUGGGAGACAGCUUUCCCCUCCCACCAUGUGGAUUCCAGGGGUUGAACCCAGGUCCUCAGACUUGGCAGCAAACACCUCAAACUGCUGCGCCAUCUUGCCUGCCCGAUAAUAAUGAAUUCUUCAUCCUGAAGGGGGCUUUGAUAUGUAACCUUUGCAAAGAAAUACAGUAGCACUGAAGACCUUUAAAAGGCAGCUGAAAAUCUCCUUUACAAUUAGAAUACACACACACACACACACACACACACACACACACACACACACACACACACACACAGUACCCAGAGAUCUGCAGGGAUAGAUACACAGUGGCAUUUGGAAAAUAGAACAAUAAUACAGCUAUAGCACAGGAAUGCUGUCAAGUCAGCAUGGGCUGUUCUCUGGCUUCUAUGUCAAGGGAAGACCCCCACUUCUUGCUUGAGAGGGUCAAAAACACAUAUUUUCACUUGUCUGUAGUGAGGCUGAAUCAUUUGGAGUUCAGUCUCCUCAAUAAGAUGAGGUAGGGGCCUGAGUGACGACUCGGUGGUUAAGAGCUGUUCUUCCAGAGAAUCCCUGUUCAGUUCCCAGCACCCAUAUGGUGA